rnacentral:rRNA from 1 species
UACGUAGGUGGCAAGCGUUUGUCCGGAUUUACUGGGCGUAAAGAGCGCGCAGGCGGUCGUACAAGUCGCGUGUGAAAGCCCCCGGCUCAACUGGGGAGGGUCACGCGAUACUGUUCGACUCGAAGGCAGGAGAGGGAAGCAGAAUUCCCGGUGUAGUGGUGAAAUGCGUAGAUAUCGGGAGGAAUACCAGUGGCGAAGGCGGGUCUCUGGGCCGAUACUGACGCUGAGGAGCGAAAGCGUGGGGAGCGAACAGG